AUGAUGCCAACUGUCAGUGCUAUUGUCAAAUUCCGUGUCUAGAACGAAAUUGAAAACAUUGGAUGCCUCAAAAGUUUGUUUAGUUAUACCCAAGUUUAAACGAACAUCAGGUUUAUAAACAAGGGCUUCAUAGUUUGAGGUGUAAAGAGGGAAACAUAUUGAGUUAUGAAUUGGCGUAUCAAUUGACAGUAAUUUUUGAUAACUAUUAAUUAAACAAGGAGUGCAUUUAUGAGUCCAGUAACUUGAGGAGUUGACUUCUUCAGAGAGGAUUUUUAGCUUGGUUAAAAGUGGGUGGUCACCUAGUUGUAAACAACGGUAUAAAUAACUAUCUGAAAGAAACUGCCGCCUCAGUUGUAAAGGGGGUUCAACACACUCUACUUGCAUUGCAUUAAUAGGGCUAGUCUUCAUUGCGCCCAGAACAAUCCUUAAAGCUACCGAUUGUAUUUUAUCUAGUUUAUUUAAAGCAGCAGCACUACAUGGUUCCAGCAAAAAAGAUCCAUAAUCAAUCACACUCCUGAUUAGUGCAUUAUAAAUGAUUCUCAGAGAAGUAGGAUGAGCGCCCCACCAUACACCUCUGAGGCAUUUAAUAAUAUUAAGAUUCCGUUCACAUUUAGCCUCAAUAUAAUUGCAAUGUGGGAUACCAGGGGAGAUCUCAUACGAGAAAAAAGCACUACAUUGCUUUUGGAAACGGAUAAUUCUAAGCCAUUAUCAUUCAUCCAACCCUUCAAUAUACCAAGAGAUGUUGUUUUUUAUCAGCAGCACUUCUACAAUUCCACUGUAGGAGUACCUGAUCCAUUAUUGGGAUUGAUAGACACAGUGUUUUCAAUUAGUUGGGCAACGUGGGACGGUAUAGAAUUGGUGGGAAUUAAACUGGAUUUAAACAAAAGCUCAAUAAGAGACAAAAUUAAUUUCGCUAUGGGUUGGUUUGAUUUAUCAUUUUCUGAGUUAUCAUUUUUCAGAGCAGAACCAUUUGGUGAAGAUAGAGGUAUAUCAUAAUCUUUUAUUAGAGAUGCAUGUGCAGCCCGGUCAUACCCAGCCGAAGGCGUAGGAGGAGCACGAGGCUUAAGGAAAACUGUUUUUUUAUAUGAGCUGGAAGAUGGGGACAAUCGAGCUGCUGGGUUAGCAGCCUCAUCUUGAGAUUGUUUAUGUUGCGAAGUUCUAAGAACGUCAGCAAAAGAUUUGGAGACAACGGGGUGUAAUUUGGAAGCCUCUAAAUAUGAGAUGCAGUUUUGAGCCAUUGACACUUUGAUAUUUUUUUGUCGGGAAAAUUCAGGACAAGCCUUACUAGUGGCAAAAUGAUAACCAGAACAAAGACAGCAUGAUCCAUCCUCUUGUUCUACUGAACAAGAUUCGGCAGUGUGACCUUGCCCACAUUUAUAACAGCGAGGCUUGGAGCGGCAUUGAGCCUUUGUAUGACCAAAACGGCAGCAGCUGUAACAUUGAAUGGUUGGAUAAAUGUACAAGUCGACAGUCAAUGGAGUAUAGCACAUAAACACACGUUUUGGUAGUACUUGUCCAUCGAAAGUUAAAACAACUGUUUCAGUGUUAGUAAAUUCUGGAGACCCAUUUAUAAUUUUUUUACUUUUAAUUCUCCUAGCUUUAAGAACUUUCCCACAACCAAUGGGGACACUCACAUUAUCCAAAAUCUCAUCCUCAGGCCAGUCAGCAGGGACACCCCUGACAACACCCAUCCGUGUGAUAAUAAAGGUUGGAAUGAAAGCUCUCAAACUAUGGCUGGCAAGGCAAGGAUUUUCAAUAAAAGCGUUAGCAUCAGAAUAUGUGGAAAAGGCCAUGGAUAGUCUAUUUCUGCCGAUCCGUUUCAAGCUACCGUUCACUAUGUUUUUAAUCAUAUUUUUCUUUAGAACGCUACCAAACUGAAUGGGAUGCAGUGAAACAGGAUCGUCAGGAGUAGACUGCUCCUUUUGAAUGUGCACCACAUAGGGUGCUAGGUCGGAAGAAACAUAUUUCCUACCAACUUGCUGUUGCUGCUGGGUUUGCUGAUUAGUUACUGUGACUGUUGGUGGUGGAGGUGGAGGAUCAGGUAUUGUUGAUAAAAGAGAAUUGUCUUCGUCAGAAUUGCAAUUGCACUUGUCUACACCCGAAACGUUUUUACCAUUUUUACUUUUGCGCUUUUUGUUGCAAUGUUUGCAAAUCUUUCUCAAGGGUCUUACACGUUUUCUGACUUGAGAGGAGCACCCGUCCUCCGUAUCCAUUGACGAAGUAUCGUCAACAAUAACUUCCAUCCCUACAUGAGGGACACGAUGACGAUCCCGGUCGCCACCGGGGUCGUCGGGGGGAUCAACCCCCAUAGUAAAAAGAAAAACUCACUUACCACUACACAGCAGCAAGUAUUUUAGAAGAAUAUAUAUAAAUAUGAAUUAACAGAUAAAAUAAUACAGAAAUACUCCACUGAACCCACACGAAAUCAAUUAAAUUAAAUUUUCACUAAAAAACACGACCGCCAAUUUCGGAAGUUUCCCGC
rnacentral:misc_RNA from 1 species